AAAACGUAAUCUCAAAGUGUGACAAUAAAAAGAGCUAAGUAUAUGUAGGAGCUAAUGUAUUUAGAGCUGGUGUACAUACAUACAAUCUAUUAUCUAUAUACAAGUAGUGUAGAUAUAGGUAUAUCGUAUAUCGCCUUUCCAAAUGUAAACAGCGAACUCCUAUCGCCAUCUGUGGAAAAAGUCAGAACUAUAAGAUAGUCUCCUAUAGUAAUAGUACGAUAUAUAAUAGUAAGCAGAAGCAGACAUCAGUCAGGGAUUGUCCAUCUGUCGACUCGUGAGCAAUGGAUAUAUUAUGUAUACAAGCAACAAGUGUACAGUUGCACUUGUUUACUUUUGUAGUAUGCUUAUUACAAAUUUAAACUCUUUGCAUAAAUAUAACACAUAAUUCAGUUUUAUUUCAAGACAAAAUAGAGCCAACAAUUUCAUCAGUCUUAUUGGUCCUGUUCAAUUCACGAUGAAUCAUAAAAAUGGUUUGGAAAAAAUGAAACCAACGAAGAGGUUAUGUUGGACUGCAGAGGUUCGAAAGCCAGGAUGAAAAUCUAUAAACUUGAAUCAAAGGCAUUUGAUAAACUCCAUACUGCUUAUACUUAUCAAAUGGUUGUGUAUACAUACCUGACAAAGAUGCAAUCUGAGUUUCUUGUUAAAAUGGAUGUGCUAGAAAGCAUGUCAGAACAAAAAUAAUUCAGACAAAUACUCAAAUAACUCUGGACUCAAGGGAAGUAGCGGCAACGCUACGUGAAAUGAUUGUACCUGAAGAAAUCUUGGAAUUUUAAUUUUAAGUAAAGGAAAAAAUAAAGAUCUUAUCUUUGAUUAAACAAAUUUCAGAAGUAAAUUAUGAUGACAAAGAUUGAAAAGGAGAGUAAAAUGUCUGAGUAAGAUCAAUAUAAAAAGUGACUAGCAAUUAAAGAUAUCGCA